GGGUUAGUAGGCUGGUCAUGCCACCGGUAUGUACUGGUCUACUGAUUCCUCCUUCCUGAUGAACUGUAAUGCCAUUAAUUUGGUGUUGCAGGGAAUCUGGACUGUUACUUUGAAAAAAUUAGAGUGUUUAAAGCAGGCUAACGCUUGAAUACAUUAGCAUGGAAUAAUGAAAUAGGACGUUCGAUCCUAUUUUGUUGGUUUCUAGGAUUGACGUAAUGAUUAAUAGGGAUAGUUGGG
rnacentral:rRNA from 1 species